UACGUAGGGAGCGAGCGUUGUCCGGAAUUACUGGGCGUAAAGGGCGCGUAGGCGGCGCUUCAAGUCGUCUGUCAAAUGGAAGGGCUUAACCCUUUUUCGCAGACGAAACUGGAGAGCUUGAGAAGCAGAGAGGCAAACAGAAUUCCUGGUGUAGCGGUGAAAUGCGUAGAUAUCAGGAAGAAUACCAGUGGCGAAGGCGGCUUGCUGGUCUGUUACUGACGCUGAGGCGCGAAAGCAUGAGGAGCGAACAGGAUUAGAUACCCUGGUAGUCCAUGCUGUAAACGAUGAGUGCUAAGUGUUGGGAGGUUUCCGCCUCUCAGUGCUGCAGCUAACGCAUUAAGCACACCGCCUGGGGAGUACGACCGCAAGGUUAAAACUCAAAUGAAUUGACGGGG
rnacentral:rRNA from 1 species